UAUGGACACGUGUCUACUCAUUUAGACAACCCUACGUGUCCCGUUACUGGUCCCGAGAGACGAGCGCAUAACCUUCUUUGAAAUACCGUCACACCCACAUCCAUAUACUUCUACUUACAGUCCUGCGCACAGGGAAAAAUGGAAAUGGAGGGGUGAGCAACAAGUUACUCAGUGAAGUGGCUCUAGACCAGCCUGCCCGCAUGACACUCUAUACUACUCUAUGCGGGAACUAGGACUGACUAGCCACUACAGUCAGUUAAUGCAUUUUAUCAUUUCAUAUCGUCAUCUGUAAUUUCCACAUUCAAUUCCAUACAUUUCUAACAACCUAGUGAUCAAUCAAUACAAUGAUCUCACUCAUUGCCACACACGUCAAACCCUAGACUUAUCCGACUCAUCUUACCAGUCCGACUCGAUCCUAUGACACCUUUAACUCCCCGUUACCCGAUCAUGAGCUAAAGACCCUACAAUGCACAUCCUUUUCAUCAAUACGUCUUUUUCAUCAGUGGGUAGCCCCAACUAGGCUUCUACCCCAUAUUCUUGUGGAUUGGCCACAUCUCCUAUGGGUGCUUCCAUAUUCAUGUGGAUUGGCCACAUCUCCUAUGGAUACCUAGCGUGAACUACUGCCACACAUACUUUCCUUAGACUCUAUAUGUUUUCCCACCCAUGCUUAACCUUAACGUUAUUCUUCUAUACUUUCACUUAUCCUUUCACAUCCUUAUCAAUUACACUUAUCCCUUCUCAUUUUUCAUUUACUUUCCCUUUAUAUUUAGACUUGUACUUGGACUCAUUCACUAGACGCCACCCGUUAUCGGUGUCGCACACAAUACACAUCGCACUCAAGUUCUACUUCAAUAACAUUAUCAAUCAUUACUCAUCUAUCAGCUUAGCAUUCAUUUCUCUCUAGCAUCCUAGAUUUAAUCACAAACCACACAUGGGACUACACAUCCAAACAUACAAGCAUCACUCAUCAACCAAUCAACAUCACCACAACAUAUAUCAGUUCAUCAAGUCCCGUUAACAGUAUGAGGGUUCUUAUGCAUCAUGAUUCAUUCAUCUAUCAUCCUAGCAAUUAUCAUGUUCUAUCAACAUAACUCUCAAACAGGGUCUAAACAACCUAACUCCAACAUAAAGGAGUAUACAGAAUCAUGAGAGAAGGUUGGGUUCGAGACACUCCACCUUGGCUUAGAUCUGGAUCUGGAAGCAAGAGACACGGGAGAGGAGAUUGAGAUCUGGUCACCACCACCACUACACGGCGCCGGCGAGGAGAGAGAGAGAGAGAUCACGGAGGGAGAGAGAGAGAGAGAAAGAGAGGCGUGAGAGAAGAAGAGAGAAAAGGAAAAAGAGAAGCUUGACGGCUAGGGUUUCCUAGUCUCUCUAAAUCUCUGCAGAGCUUCGCUCAAGUUUCAGAAAUGAGAGAAAAGUGAGAGGAGGCAGCUUCAUUUAUAGGAAAAAGAGGGAACCCUAGGUCAUUUACCCUAAUGGGCUGCAGUCUUAACGGGCUCUCCUUAAGAAAUUUUUGGGCCAGGAACCGGGCCGUUACAAUUCUCCCCUGUUAAUCAGAAUUUGUCCCCAAAUUCCAAGCCCUAGACUUCCGAACUUAACAUCCGAUAACAAAAGGAACUCACACAAUCACACAUCAUACAAGGGAGGCACACAAAGCGAGAACAACUUUGCUCGGGGAUCUUUUAAAAACCAAUGAAUGAAUUAAGCUCAAAAAGAAAUUUUGCAAGUACAAUGGAUCUGAUCAAAAUCAUAAUAACGUAUAGAUAUAGUGGGUGGUUUUGAAAUCAUUUUCAGGAGUGUUAGAAGAAAUAAAACUUUUACAAACUCUUUUCUUUUAAUGAAAACAAGUUUUUUUUUUGACAACGUCGGAAAUGCUGAUCCCUUAGGACAGAACUAAGGGAUCUUAACCCGCUCUGAUACCAAUUGUAACAGCCCGAUCCCCCCGGCGUCCGAUCGGGGUUAUUGAAGGGGCGUUAUGGACACGUGUCUACUCAUUUAGACAACCCUACGUGUCCCGUUACUGGUCCCGAGAGACGAGCACAUAACCUUCUUUGAAAUACCGUCACACCCACAUCCAUAUACUUCUACUUACAGUCCUGCACACAGGGAAAAAUGGAAAUGGAGGGGUGAGCAACAAGUUACUCAGUGAAGUGGCUCUAGACCAGCCUGCCCGCAUGACACUCUAUACUACUCUAUGCGGGAACUAGGACUGACUAGCCACUACAGUCAGUUAAUGCAUUUUAUCAUUUCAUAUCGUCAUCUGUAAUUUCCACAUUCAAUUCCAUACAUUUCUAACAACCUAGUGAUCAAUCAAUACAAUGAUCUCACUCAUUGCCACACACUUCAAACCCUAGACUUAUCCGACUCAUCUUACCAGUCCGACUCGAUCCUAU
rnacentral:lncRNA from 1 species